CUAGCACUCAUGCCACAUGUAAUCAAAGCCAUUGGUAGGGAUUCCUACGGCUUUAAAUCUUGUUGCUGAUACUGAGUUUGACCUGUGAUUUUCCUUGACAUGUCAUUUUGCCUACUUUAUACUGUAUUAUAGGUGCCUUCUACUUGGAAAGAGGAACUAACCCAAAUGCAUCUACCAGUUAUUGGCAAGUGUACAGCUUUCAUUGAAGACAAGUACACAUUUUCAAACAGUGAAAUGCCCAGCAUACACCAGAUUAGAAGAAUAAUGUCCACUCCUUGGUAUUUUCAUCAUAGUGACAACAAUGUAAUGUCAAAGGAUAUUUCUGCAGGAUGGAACUGCAACCCUUCAGGCCUGUGAGUGGAGGCACCUAGAACCUGGAGACA
rnacentral:lncRNA from 1 species